AUUGAACGCUGGCGGCGUGCUUAACACAUGCAAGUCGUGCGAGAAAGGAACCUUCGGGUUCUGAGUAGAGCGGCGCACGGGUGAGUAACGCGCGGAUCAUCUGCCCAAACGUUCGGGAUAACGGCGGGAAACUGCCGCUAAUACCGGAUACGCUCCAAUUUCGGUUGGAGGAAAGGCGGCCUCUGCUUGCAAGCUGUCGCAUUUGGAUGAGUCCGCGUCCCAUUAGCUUGUUGGUGGGGUAAUGGCCUACCAAGGCUACGAUGGGUAGCUGGUCUGAGAGGAUGAUCAGCCACACUGGAACUGAAACACGGUCCAGACUCCUACGGGAGGCAGCAGUGGGGAAUAUUGCGCAAUGGGGGAAACCCUGACGCAGCGACGCCGUGUGAGGGAAGAAGGCUUUCGGGUCGUAAACCUCUGUCGGGAAGGAAGAACCCCCCAAGUCCGAAUAGGGCUUGGGGCUGACGGUACUUCCAAAGGAAGCACCGGCUAACUCCGUGCCAGCAGCCGCGGUAAUACGGAGGGUGCAAGCGUUAAUCGGAAUCACUGGGCGUAAAGCGCGCGUAGGCGGCUUUUUAAGUCGGACGUGAAAGCCCUCGGCUCAACCGGGGAAUUGCGUUCGAAACUGGGAGGCUUGAGUCCUGGAGAGGGUGGCGGAAUUCCGGGUGUAGGAGUGAAAUCCGUAGAUAUCCGGAGGAACACCGGUGGCGAAGGCGGCCACCUGGACAGGUACUGACGCUGAGGCGCGAAAGCGUGGGGAGCAAACA
rnacentral:rRNA from 1 species